CCUACGGGAGGCAGCAGGGGGGAAUAUUGGACAAUGGGGGGAACCCUGAUCCAGCCAUGCCGCGUGUGUGAAGAAGGCCCUCGGGUUGUAAAGCACUUUCAGUGAGGAAGAACGCCUGGUGGUUAAUACCCAUCAGGAAAGACAUCACUCACAGAAGAAGCACCGGCUAACUCCGUGCCAGCAGCCGCGGUAAUACGGAGGGUGCGAGCGUUAAUCGGAAUUACUGGGCGUAAAGCGCGCGUAGGUGGCUUGAUAAGCCGGUUGUGAAAGCCCCGGGCUCAACCUGGGAACGGCAUCCGGAACUGUCAAGCUAGAGUGCAGGAGAGGAAGGUAGAAUUCCCGGUGUAGCGGUGAAAUGCGUAGAGAUCGGGAGGAAUACCAGUGGCGAAGGCGGCCUUCUGGACUGACACUGACACUGAGGUGCGAAAGCGUGGGUAGCAAACAGGAUUAGAUACCCGUGUAGUC
rnacentral:rRNA from 1 species